rnacentral:snRNA from 11 species
AUACUUUACCUGGAGGGGAGAUUUCAUGAUGGCUGGUUUUCUCUGAGUGAUGCUUAGCCAUUGUAUCUGGAUGUUCUAACCCGUUAUUUCCCCAAAUAUGGGAAUCUGGACAGAAUUAUUUGUGGUAGUGGGAGAGGGCACUGUUCAUGCUUUCU